AAGUCCCUUUGUUAACAUUACACAAACCUUCUAUCCAUUUAUGUAUUUGUGAUAUUCCUUUUGUACCCUUUCAUUUAACACCAUAUAUCUCCUCUAUUCUUCAAUUGAAAUUAUGAAGGUGAAUCUUCCAAGAAGUUUCAUAGUUCUAAAGAAAAAGGGAAACACAAUGUUGUAUAUUGUUCACAAGUUAAAGAAAAUGCCGAGACGAACAUAAGGUGAAGCCUUUUCGAGGUGGGGGAAGCCAAUGAAGUGGAUAAGAGGGGGGUUAUGGGAGUAGAGGCGGUGGAACGAGGUUAGAACUUCACGUUAAAGACUUAGAAGAGGCCAAAGUGGUCGAAGGUUGUGAGGAAAAGGGCGUUGGGACAGAAGGAGGUGCAUGUGAAAACAAUGGAGAUGGUGGCAACAAGUAGGCAAUAGUGAAGGAGUUAGAAGUCUGGGGGAGAUAAUCGCACCACCACACAUGAUUCCUCACUCAAAUCCUUGCUCUUCUUACUAAAGGUUGAAAUUUUCUUUCACCUAACGAAAAUUUAUUAUAGAAAUAAUAAAGUUUUGGAUCAAUAGAAAGUAACAAUGACUUUGUCUUUCUUUAUGAUUUUGUAUAAUUGAGUUUGGUAUGAGGUACAAGUUGUGUGUCUUGUUCUUUGUAUAAUUUAUUGCAGAAAAAAAAAAUUAAGUUUUAAC
rnacentral:lncRNA from 1 species